CUGAAGCAAGGAAACGCACAUCAGAAAAGUGGAAUAAACAGAUUCAUCUUCUCUUUGAUUUUUUUUUAAAUUUAAAUAUUAUGCAAGCUUUUGUUCUCGUCCUGGAUGGCACAGCAGACGAGAAGCUUUAGUACCCAGUAGCAAGAGAGAUUACGAAUUCCAAAAACCAAGAAAGGGGAAAGUGCUACCAGAAAUGCGGGGCUGUUUCCUUGUUCUUACUGCUCUCCUGGCUAUAUCUGCUGGAUUCCACCACCACCACAAAAAUUUACUAACUUACUUGCUGUUGGCCCAACAAGCCCAAAAAAAAGUCAUCAUCCUACCACUUUUUAUUCCUGUCCCUGUUGGUAUACUGAGCAGCCUCUUUCGAAGUUUUCAUCAUUUUCAUCAUCACCCUCCAUUAUACAAAUCGAACAAGGCCGCUGAUAUAGUCAUUCAUACGUCUAGCGACUGUACUUUUCCUAAUUGCGGAGGAGCAAUUAUCGCAGAUCGGAAUUGGUUCAACAAAAAACCAUCAAGAUUUACGGGAGACAGUUUUAUUGCUUAUUGAAAGUAACACAGACUCAUUUAACUGUGGAACAAAUACGUGUAACUUGAAUUUAACAAAAUGACUUUGCUUUUGGGAGACUAUCAUUUUGUAGCUAUGUAGUUUUUAUUAAGUUACAAUUCAAGUUAUAGUUUUA